AGUGGUGUGAGUUUAACACUUCAUGACUGAGAGGAGCUACAGCAACUUCUUCACCCACAGCAGCCAUGACUUUAAUCCCCAUCCUCAUCUGGACACUGAUCUUCUGGACUCGAGAGUCCACAGGUCAGGUGACUGUAACUCAGACUCCUGCAGUGAAAUCUGCUCUUCCAGGAGACACAGUCACCAUCAGCUGUAGAACCAGCCAGGCAGUGUACCAUGACUCAAAAGGCCAUCACUUAUAUUGGUAUUGUCUGAAACCUGGAGAAACUCAUAAAGCCCUCAUUGAAUUUGUAAAUCAGGUUCAGUCUGGUUUUCCAGCUCGUUUCAGUGGCAGCGGAUCUGGAUCUGACUUCACUCUGACCAUCAGUGGAGUCCAGCGUGAAGAUACAGGAGAUUAUUACUGUCAGAGUUACCACGGAGGCACUGUGAUCACACAGUGAUACAGAGCCAUACAAAAACCUCCCUCAGUCAGACGGUACAGAGGCCUCACUGCUGCAGUGGGACCUACUACAGGUGCUGAAACAACACAAAGUCUGCCUCUGUGGAGGAGAACAAGCUCACCACACUGACUCACUACUGAUAGUAGAACUGUAUGAAUGACUUUAUAUAUGAUGGCUUUAUUAACAUGGUAUAUCAGAUGGACUUUUGACAGAGGUGCUAAUAGCAGCUUAGUUCCCAAACAUCAAAAUAUCAUGUGCUGAGCCAGAGACCCCCCUUAUUAAUUACAUUUUUAGUCUAAAUAUUCAUUAAGUCUAAGAAAUCACAUUUAAGAUAACAUUACACAGAAGCCUCGACCGCAAA